rnacentral:rRNA from 1 species
CGCGUAGGUGGUAGUGAAAGUCUAUGGUGGAAUCUUAGGGCUUAACCCUAAAACUGCCUUGGAAACUUCAUUACUUGAGUCAGUGAGGGGAGGGUAGAAUUCCUGGUGUAGCGGUGAAAUGCGUAGAUAUCAGGAGGAAGGCCGGUGGCGAAGGCGGCCCUCUGGCGCUGAACUGACGCUGAGGCGCGAAAGCGUGGGUAGCAAACAGGAUUAGAUACCCUGGUAGUCCACGCCCUAAACGGUGGGUACUAGGUGUAGGGCUCGUAAGGGUUCUCGUGCCGAAGGGAAACCAUUAAGUACCCCGCCUGGGGAGUACGGCCGCAAGGUUGAA